GUCUAUGGCCAUACUGCCCUGAACACACCCAAUCUCAUCUGAUCUCAGAAGCUAAGCAGGGUGGGGACUGCUUAGCACUUGGAGGGGAGAUUACACGGAGCUCUUUGCGGCUGGGGAAC
rnacentral:rRNA from 1 species